rnacentral:rRNA from 1 species
UUAAGCGACUAAGCGUACACGGUGGAUGCCCUGGCAGUCAGAGGCGAUGAAGGACGUGCUAAUCUGCGAAAAGCGUCGGUAAGGUGAUAUGAACCGUUAUAACCGGCGAUGUCCGAAUGGGGAAACCCAGUGCAAUUCGUUGCACUAUCGUUAACUGAAUACAUAGGUUAACGAGGCGAACCGGGGGAACUGAAACAUCUAAGUACCCCGAGGAAAAGAAAUCAACCGAGAUUCCCCCAGUAGCGGCGAGCGAACGGGGAGCAGCCCAGAGUCUGAAUCAGCUUGUGUGUUAGUGGAACGGUCUGGAAAGUCCGACGGUACAGGGUGAUAGUCCCGUACACCAAAAUGCACAGGUUGUGAACUCGAAGAGUAGGGCGGGACACGUGGUAUCCUGUCUGAAUAUGGGGGGACCAUCCUCCAAGGCUAAAUACUCCUGACUGACCGAUAGUGAACCAGUACCGUGAGGGAAAGGCGAAAAGAACCCCGGCGAGGGGAGUGAAAAAGAACCUGAAACCGUGUACGUACAAGCAGUGGGAGCACCUUCGGGUGUGACUGCGUACCUUUUGUAUAAUGGGUCAGCGACUUAUAUUCUGUAGCAAGGUUAACCGUAUAGGGGAGCCGCAGGGAAACCGAGUCUUAACUGGGCGUUAAGUUGCAGGGUAUAGACCCGAAACCCGGUGAUCUAGCCAUGGGCAGGUUGAAGGUUGGGUAACACUAACUGGAGGACCGAACCGACUAAUGUUGAAAAAUUAGCGGAUGACUUGUGGCUGGGGGUGAAAGGCCAAUCAAACCGGGAGAUAGCUGGUUCUCCCCGAAAGCUAUUUAGGUAGCGCCUCGUGAACUCAUCUUCGGGGGUAGAGCACUGUUUCGGCUAGGGGGUCAUCCCGACUUACCAACCCGAUGCAAACUACGAAUACCGAAGAAUGUUAUCACGGGAGACACACGGCGGGUGCUAACGUCCGUCGUGAAGAGGGAAACAACCCAGACCGCCAGCUAAGGUCCCAAAGUCAUGGUUAAGUGGGAAACGAUGUGGGAAGGCACAGACAGCCAGGAUGUUGGCUUAGAAGCAGCCAUCAUUUAAAGAAAGCGUAAUAGCUCACUGGUCGAGUCGGCCUGCGCGGAAGAUGUAACGGGGCUAAACCAUGCACCGAAGCUGCGGCAGCGACACGAUGUGUUGUUGGGUAGGGGAGCGUUCUGUAAGCCUGCGAAGGUGACCUGUGAGGGUUGCUGGAGGUAUCAGAAGUGCGAAUGCUGACAUAAGUAACGAUAAAGCGGGUGAAAAGCCCGCUCGCCGGAAGACCAAGGGUUCCUGUCCAACGUUAAUCGGGGCAGGGUGAGUCGACCCCUAAGGCGAGGCCGAAAGGCGUAGUCGAUGGGAAACAGGUUAAUAUUCCUGUACUUGGUGUUACUGCGAAGGGGGGACGGAGAAGGCUAUGUUAGCCGGGCGACGGUUGUCCCGGUUUAAGCAUGUAGGCUGGUUAUCCAGGCAAAUCCGGAUAAUCAAGGCUGAGGUGUGAUGACGAGGUACUACGGUGCUGAAGUAACAAAUGCCCUGCUUCCAGGAAAAGCCUCUAAGCAUCAGGUAACAUCAAAUCGUACCCCAAACCGACACAGGUGGUCAGGUAGAGAAUACCAAGGCGCUUGAGAGAACUCGGGUGAAGGAACUAGGCAAAAUGGUGCCGUAACUUCGGGAGAAGGCACGCUGGUGUGUAGGUGAAGUCCCUGCGGAUGGAGCUGAGACCAGUCGAAGAUACCAGCUGGCUGCAACUGUUUAUUAAAAACACAGCACUGUGCAAACACGAAAGUGGACGUAUACGGUGUGACGCCUGCCCGGUGCCGGAAGGUUAAUUGAUGGGGUUAUCCGUAAGGAGAAGCUCUUGAUCGAAGCCCCGGUAAACGGCGGCCGUAACUAUAACGGUCCUAAGGUAGCGAAAUUCCUUGUCGGGUAAGUUCCGACCUGCACGAAUGGCGUAAUGAUGGCCAGGCUGUCUCCACCCGAGACUCAGUGAAAUUGAACUCGCUGUGAAGAUGCAGUGUACCCGCGGCAAGACGGAAAGACCCCGUGAACCUUUACUAUAGCUUGACACUGAACAUUGAGCCUUGAUGUGUAGGAUAGGUGGGAGGCUUUGAAGCGUGGACGCCAGUCUGCGUGGAGCCAACCUUGAAAUACCACCCUUUAAUGUUUGAUGUUCUAACGUGGGCCCCUAAUCGGGGUUGCGGACAGUGUCUGGUGGGUAGUUUGACUGGGGCGGUCUCCUCCCAAAGCGUAACGGAGGAGCACGAAGGUUAGCUAAUCCUGGUCGGACAUCAGGAGGUUAGUGCAAUGGCAUAAGCUAGCUUGACUGCGAGCGUGACGGCGCGAGCAGGUGCGAAAGCAGGUCAUAGUGAUCCGGUGGUUCUGAAUGGAAGGGCCAUCGCUCAACGGAUAAAAGGUACUCCGGGGAUAACAGGCUGAUACCGCCCAAGAGUUCAUAUCGACGGCGGUGUUUGGCACCUCGAUGUCGGCUCAUCACAUCCUGGGGCUGAAGUAGGUCCCAAGGGUAUGGCUGUUCGCCAUUUAAAGUGGUACGCGAGCUGGGUUUAGAACGUCGUGAGACAGUUCGGUCCCUAUCUGCCGUGGGCGCUGGAGAAUUGAGGGGGGCUGCUCCUAGUACGAGAGGACCGGAGUGGACGCAUCACUGGUGUUCGGGUUGUCAUGCCAAUGGCACUGCCCGGUAGCUAAAUGCGGAAGAGAUAAGUGCUGAAAGCAUCUAAGCACGAAACUUGCCCCGAGAUGAGUUCUCCCUGAGACUUUAAGUCUCCUGAAGGAACGUUGAAGACGACGACGUUGAUAGGCCGGGUGUGUAAGCGCAGCGAUGCGUUGAGCUAACCGGUACUAAUGAACCGUGAGGCUUAACCUU